UCUUUUCGUGUUCAUUUCUGAUAUAAAUGCAUAAAUAGAGGACGAUCUUGUUGCGUAAAAAGGAAAAGAGAAUGAAAGAAAUAGGGAGAGAGAGAGAGAGGACAGCUACUUCUGAUGCAAAAACAAUUGCGGCAAUUCAUUGUGACUCUGAAAAGCGGGA
ensembl:ncRNA C47E12.17 ncRNA